rnacentral:rRNA from 1 species
UACGUAGGGUGCGAGCGUUAAUCGGAAUUACUGGGCGUAAAGCGUGCGCAGGCGGUCUGUUAAGACCGAUGUGAAAUCCCCGGGCUUAACCUGGGAACUGCAUUGGUGACUGGCAGGCUUUGAGUGUGGCAGAGGGAGGUAGAAUUCCACGUGUAGCAGUGAAAUGCGUAGAGAUGUGGAGGAAUACCGAUGGCGAAGGCAGCCUCCUGGGCCAUUACUGACGCUGAGGAGCGAAAGCGUGGGGAGCGAACAGG